GGGUUGUGAGGUUAAGCGACUAAGCGUACACGGUGGAUGCCCUGGCAGUCAGAGGCGAUGAAGGACGUGCUAAUCUGCGAUAAGCGUCGGUAAGGUGAUAUGAACCGUUAUAACCGGCGAUUUCCGAAUGGGGAAACCCAGUGUGUUUCGACACACUAUCAUUAACUGAAUCCAUAGGUUAAUGAGGCGAACCGGGGGAACUGAAACAUCUAAGUACCCCGAGGAAAAGAAAUCAACCGAGAUUCCCCCAGUAGCGGCGAGCGAACGGGGAGCAGCCCAGAGCCUGAAUCAGUGUGUGUGUUAGUGGAAGCGUCUGGAAAGGCGCGCGAUACAGGGUGACAGCCCCGUACACAAAAAUGCACAUGCUGUGAGCUCGAUGAGUAGGGCGGGACACGUGGUAUCCUGUCUGAAUAUGGGGGGACCAUCCUCCAAGGCUAAAUACUCCUGACUGACCGAUAGUGAACCAGUACCGUGAGGGAAAGGCGAAAAGAACCCCGGCGAGGGGAGUGAAAAAGAACCUGAAACCGUGUACGUACAAGCAGUGGGAGCACGCUUAGGCGUGUGACUGCGUACCUUUUGUAUAAUGGGUCAGCGACUUAUAUUCUGUAGCAAGGUUAACCGAAUAGGGGAGCCGAAGGGAAACCGAGUCUUAACUGGGCGUUAAGUUGCAGGGUAUAGACCCGAAACCCGGUGAUCUAGCCAUGGGCAGGUUGAAGGUUGGGUAACACUAACUGGAGGACCGAACCGACUAAUGUUGAAAAAUUAGCGGAUGACUUGUGGCUGGGGGUGAAAGGCCAAUCAAACCGGGAGAUAGCUGGUUCUCCCCGAAAGCUAUUUAGGUAGCGCCUCGUGAAUUCAUCUCCGGGGGUAGAGCACUGUUUCGGCAAGGGGGUCAUCCCGACUUACCAACCCGAUGCAAACUGCGAAUACCGGAGAAUGUUAUCACGGGAGACACACGGCGGGUGCUAACGUCCGUCGUGAAGAGGGAAACAACCCAGACCGCCAGCUAAGGUCCCAAAGUCAUGGUUAAGUGGGAAACGAUGUGGGAAGGCCCAGACAGCCAGGAUGUUGGCUUAGAAGCAGCCAUCAUUUAAAGAAAGCGUAAUAGCUCACUGGUCGAGUCGGCCUGCGCGGAAGAUGUAACGGGGCUAAACCAUGCACCGAAGCUGCGGCAGCGACACUAUGUGUUGUUGGGUAGGGGAGCGUUCUGUAAGCCUGUGAAGGUGUGCUGUGAGGCAUGCUGGAGGUAUCAGAAGUGCGAAUGCUGACAUAAGUAACGAUAAAGCGGGUGAAAAGCCCGCUCGCCGGAAGACCAAGGGUUCCUGUCCAACGUUAAUCGGGGCAGGGUGAGUCGACCCCUAAGGCGAGGCCGAAAGGCGUAGUCGAUGGGAAACAGGUUAAUAUUCCUGUACUUGGUGUUACUGCGAAGGGGGGACGGAGAAGGCUAUGUUGGCCGGGCGACGGUUGUCCCGGUUUAAGCGUGUAGGCUGGUUUUCCAGGCAAAUCCGGAAAAUCAAGGCUGAGGCGUGAUGACGAGGCACUACGGUGCUGAAGCAACAAAUGCCCUGCUUCCAGGAAAAGCCUCUAAGCAUCAGGUAACAUCAAAUCGUACCCCAAACCGACACAGGUGGUCAGGUAGAGAAUACCAAGGCGCUUGAGAGAACUCGGGUGAAGGAACUAGGCAAAAUGGUGCCGUAACUUCGGGAGAAGGCACGCUGAUAUGUAGGUGAGGUCCCUCGCGGAUGGAGCUGAAAUCAGUCGAAGAUACCAGCUGGCUGCAACUGUUUAUUAAAAACACAGCACUGUGCAAACACGAAAGUGGACGUAUACGGUGUGACGCCUGCCCGGUGCCGGAAGGUUAAUUGAUGGGGUCAGCGCAAGCGAAGCUCUUGAUCGAAGCCCCGGUAAACGGCGGCCGUAACUAUAACGGUCCUAAGGUAGCGAAAUUCCUUGUCGGGUAAGUUCCGACCUGCACGAAUGGCGUAAUGAUGGCCAGGCUGUCUCCACCCGAGACUCAGUGAAAUUGAACUCGCUGUGAAGAUGCAGUGUACCCGCGGCAAGACGGAAAGACCCCGUGAACCUUUACUAUAGCUUGACACUGAACAUUGAGCCUUGAUGUGUAGGAUAGGUGGGAGGCUUUGAAGUGUGGACGCCAGUCUGCAUGGAGCCGACCUUGAAAUACCACCCUUUAAUGUUUGAUGUUCUAACGUGGACCCGUGAUCCGGGUUGCGGACAGUGUCUGGUGGGUAGUUUGACUGGGGCGGUCUCCUCCUAAAGAGUAACGGAGGAGCACGAAGGUUGGCUAAUCCUGGUCGGACAUCAGGAGGUUAGUGCAAUGGCAUAAGCCAGCUUGACUGCGAGCGUGACGGCGCGAGCAGGUGCGAAAGCAGGUCAUAGUGAUCCGGUGGUUCUGAAUGGAAGGGCCAUCGCUCAACGGAUAAAAGGUACUCCGGGGAUAACAGGCUGAUACCGCCCAAGAGUUCAUAUCGACGGCGGUGUUUGGCACCUCGAUGUCGGCUCAUCACAUCCUGGGGCUGAAGUAGGUCCCAAGGGUAUGGCUGUUCGCCAUUUAAAGUGGUACGCGAGCUGGGUUUAGAACGUCGUGAGACAGUUCGGUCCCUAUCUGCCGUGGGCGCUGGAGAACUGAGGGGGGCUGCUCCUAGUACGAGAGGACCGGAGUGGACGCAUCACUGGUGUUCGGGUUGUCAUGCCAAUGGCACUGCCCGGUAGCUAAAUGCGGAAGAGAUAAGUGCUGAAAGCAUCUAAGCACGAAACUUGCCCCGAGAUGAGUUCUCCCUGACCCUUUAAGGGUCCUGAAGGAACGUUGAAGACGACGACGUUGAUAGGCCGGGUGUGUAAGCGCAGCGAUGCGUUGAGCUAACCGGUACUAAUGAACCGUGAGGCUUAACCUUACAACGCCGAAGGUGUUU
rnacentral:rRNA from 1 species